GUGGACACAAGAUGUAGGCGCCAUCUUGUUAGCACGAGGUGUUCACUCGAUGGGAGGGGUGCUUUGGCAGCCAUCCAUUUAGAGCAUAGCUGGCACUUGUUAGUUUCUCAAGGUUAGGUUUCAAGGCUUUUAGUAAAUACACAUUUUAUCAAGCUAUUUCUUGCUGACAUGCAAAUUCUAUGUUCUAUAGACAAGGCUUUCUUGUAAAACUAUGGGGGCCUCUUAGAG